CCUACGGGCGGCAGCAGUGAGGAAUAUUGGUCAAUGGGCGCGAGCCUGAACCAGCCAAGUAGCGUGAAGGAUGAAUGUCCUAUGGGUUGUAAACCUCUUUUGUAAGGGAACAAAGUCACCCACGUGUGUGUUUUGGUGUGUACCUGAUGAAUAAGGAUCGGCUAACUCCGUGCCAGCAGCCGCGGUAAUACGGAGGAUGCGAGCGUUAUCCGGAUUUAUUGGGUUUAAAGGGUGCGUAGGCGGAUCGUCAAGUCAGCGGUAAAAUUGAGGGGCUCAACCCCAUCCAGCCAUUGAAACUGGUGAUCUUGAGUGGACGAGAAGUAUGCGGAAUGCGUGGUGUAGCGGUGAAAUGCAUAGAUAUCACGCAGAACUCCGAUUGCGAAGGCAGCAUACCGGCGUCCUACUGACGCUGAAGCACGAAAGCGUGGGGAUCGAACAGGAUUAGAUACCCGAGUAGUC
rnacentral:rRNA from 1 species